AUCUUCGGAUAUGAGUAGAGCGGCGGACGGGUGAGUAACGCGUAGGAAUCUACCUAGUAGAAGGGGAUAGCCCGGGGAAACCCGGAUUAAUACCGUAUACCUCCUUCGGGAGAAAGAAGGCCUCUCUUUGAAGCUUUCGCUACUAGAUGAGCCUGCGUAAGAUUAGCUUGUUGGUGAGGUAAAGGCUCACCAAGGCUACGAUCUUUAGCUGGUCUGAGAGGACGAUCAGCCACAUUGGGACUGAGACACGGCCCAGACUCCUACGGGAGGCAGCAGUGGGGAAUAUUGGACAAUGGGCGCAAGCCUGAUCCAGCCAUACCGCGUGUGUGAAGAAGGCCUUCGGGUUGUAAAGCACUUUAAGCAGGGAGAAAAAGUUAUAAGUUAAUACCUUAUAACCCUGAUGUUACCUGCAGAAUAAGCACCGGCUAAUUCCGUGCCAGCAGCCGCGGUAAUACGGAAGGUGCAAGCGUUAGUCGGAAUUACUGGGCGUAAAGCGCGCGUAGGUGGUUUGUUAAGUUGGAUGUGAAAGCCCUGGGCUCAACCUAGGAACUGCAUCCAAAACUAACUCACUAGAGUACGAUAGAGGGAGGUAGAAUUCAUAGUGUAGCGGUGGAAUGCGUAGAUAUUAUGAAGAAUACCAGUGGCGAAGGCGGCCUCCUGGAUCUGUACUGACACUGAGG
rnacentral:rRNA from 1 species